rnacentral:lncRNA from 1 species
CGUUUCAGAAGAAUCUCGUGUAAACACAGAAACGUGUGGUCGUGGUUUGUCCGUGAUAUCAAGGGAGCCGGGUUCAGAUGUUCUGGUUCCGACCGGCCGCGUCGUGUGGACGAGGCCUCAGUGAGCGGAUGUUCCGAAGCCAGAUGAUACAGGUCUGCGCUCGGAGGCCGGUUUGGUCCGAAUGACUACCCGUAGACCACGUGACUGUUGUUGUCACACGCCGCGCCGCUGCUGCACGCGCAUGCUGGACGCUCCGAAGCUAACGGACAAUAACACGCGCUGUGGACGGACCUGGAGCCUCGCGGGACACAGUCCACUGUGGGAGACAUGUGCUUCUCCACGGGGGACUCGGCGCUGACGCUGGCGGUGCCGCCUGUAGAAGCAGAAGCUACCGGGAGCUAGCAUUAGCGGCUAUGCGGCUAACUGGAUCCGCCGGGUCCACAAACACCCGCCCGCUAAGGAACGGGUCCACGGCGUGAUACGGAGCAGAGCGUGUUGUGUUCGUGCUGGACUCCACAGAACCAGGUUGUGGGAGUGUGGAGAAAACGGCAGGAGACGCGCCGGGGGUCGGUCCAGAGGACCAGCUUUCCAGCCGGGCUCGCGGCGGAACAGCAGGAGACACGAGGAGGCGAGAAGAGGACACGAUGAGCCCGGCGGGGCUCAGGAGGACCUCUGACAUCAGGAGGCAGCAGCGGUGGCUGAAGAAAAGCAGAAGGCAGUGCACAGAUGUGACAGAAGGGGCGUCACAGCGGGGACGUCCAGAGAGCACAGCGGCUGGAUCCGAGGUCACGCCCGUGGAGGAGGAGAGAAGGGGCCAGGAGGAGCACGGCAGAGGUCAGGAGGAGGUGCUGCCAUGGGGAGGUGAAAGCAUAGAGCAGAUGAAGCCAGGCUACUUGUGUGUAUUGUAGAGUCUGGGUCAGAGUGUGUGUUGAGUGUGGAGGUUGUGUGUGUGUGUGUGUGUGCGCGCGCGCGCGCGCUGUGUGCAUGUGUCACUUGAGUGUGUGCUGGGUGCACGUGUCACUUGAGUGUGUGCUGGUUAGGAAGUGUGUUUGUUAGAGCUGUGUAGGCAGUAGCUGUAAUGUGUGUGUGUGUGAUUGUGUAGACAACAUGUUAGUAGUCAGCAUCACCACAGGUUUGUUGUUGUUGUUGUUGUUGUUGUUGAAACAUGUGUACAGUGUAGUGCCUUUACAUGUG